rnacentral:rRNA from 1 species
UGGAUCCAGACUUUGAUUAUGGCUCAGGAUGAACGCUGGCGGCAUGCCUAAGACAUGCAAGUCGAACGAGGUGGCCCAUUGAAGACGGAGUGCUUGCACGAAGUUGGAAAUGGAUUCCCACCUAGUGGCAGACGGGUGAGUAACACGUGGGUGACCUACCUUUAAGUUGGGGAUAACAGUUGGAAACGAUUGCUAAUACCGAAUAAGAUAUAAUCGUCAAGAUUAUAUUGAAAAGAGCCCUUAAAGCUUUGCUUAAAGAUGGGCCUGCGGCGUAUUAACUAGUUGGUGGGGUAAUGGCCUACCAAGGUAACGAUGCGUAGCCGGACUGAGAGGUUGAACGGCCACACUGGACUGAGACACGGCCCAGACUCCUACGGGAGACAGCAGUUAGGAAUAUUCGUCAAUGGGGGAAACCCUGAACGAGCAAUGCCGCGUGAGUGAUGAAGGUCUUUGGAUUGUAAAACUCUGUUGUAUGGAAAAAAUGACUAGGUUAGGAAAUGAACUUAGUGUGAUGGUACCAUACCAGAAAGCCCCGGCUAACUACGUGCCAGCAGCCGCGGUAAUACGUAGGGGGCGAGCGUUAUCCGGAUUUAUUGGGCGUAAAGCGUGUGUAGGCGGCUUGUUAAGCUUAAGAUAAAAGCCCGAGGCUCAACUUCGGUUCGUCUUAAAAACUGGCAGGCUUGAGUGUGGUAGAGGUAAACGGAAUUUCUAGUGUAGCGGUGAAAUGCGUAGAUAUUAGAAGGAACGCCAGUGGCGAAGGCGGUUUACUGGGCCAUAACUGACGCUGAGGCACGAAAGCGUGGGUAGCAAAUAGGAUUAGAUACCCUAGUAGUCCACGCCGUAAACGAUGAGUACUAAGUGUUGGAAUUUCCAGUGCUGAAGCUAACGUAUUAAGUACUCCGCCUGAGUAGUACGGUCGCAAGGCUGCAACUCAAAGGAAUUGACGGA